UACGUAGGGUGCGAGCGUUAAUCGGAAUUACUGGGCGUAAAGCGUGCGCAGGCGGUAAGUUAAGUCUGAUGUGAAAGCCCCGGGCUUAACCCGGGAACGGCAUUGGAUACUACUGGUCUGGAGGAUUGGAGGGGGGACUGGAAUUCUUGGUGUAGCAGUGAAAUGCGUAGAUAUCAAGAGGAACACCAGUGGCGAAGGCGAGUCCCUGGACAAUACCUGACACUGAGGCACGAAAGCCGGGGGAGCAAACAGG
rnacentral:rRNA from 1 species